rnacentral:rRNA from 1 species
GACGAAGGGGUCUAGCGUUGUUCGGAAUCACUGGGCGUAAAGCGCACGUAGGCUGAUUGGUCAGUUGGGGGUGAACUCCCGGGGCUCAACCUCGGAACUGCCUUCAAUACUGCCAGUCUUGAGUCCGAGAGAGGUGAGUGGAAUUCCUAGUGUAGAGGUGAAAUUCGUAGAUAUUAGGAAGAACACCAGUGGCGAAGGCGGCUCACUGGCUCGGUACUGACGCUGAGGUGCGAAAGCGUGGGGAGCAAACAGG